CUUAUUAAUUUAAGAAAAGUAAAAAGUAGUCUAUGUCACAAAAAUACAAAAUAUUGUAUCUAGGGAUCUAUUCAGUCAAAUUUAUAAAACACUUACGAAGAAAACUCUGAAACUUUGCUGAGGAACAUACAAAAAGAUAUGCAUACAGGGAGACAAACUAUUCUAGAGUACGAAGAUUUGAUAUUGGAAAUAUGUGAAGUCAAUUUAUGAAUUAAAAAAAUUUCAUUUCCUUGAAACUGGAAAUUAUUCUGAUAUUCAUUUCCUAGACAAAGCAAAGAAUAUUUUUCAGACAAAGAAUAAUGAAGAAGGGCUAGCAUACUAUAUAAAAAAAACUAUAAAGUAUCACAUAUUAAAAUAAUAGCUACUGGCCCUAAGACAGACAAACAGGUGAAACAAUAGAGUAGAAAUUGAGUAAACAGAAUUAUAUAUGACUACUUACUGUACAAAAAACACAGUGGCUGUUAAGGAUGCAUUGCCAAUAUAUCUAUAUAAGAAUGCUAGUCUCCUUGGAAAAAAUAAAUUUAGAUUCUUGCCUAUCAUUUAACACCAACAUAAAUUAGGAGAAAGUGGAAACAAAAAUUUAAAAGCUUAUGAAUGGAAAGGCCUUUUGAGGAAAGAUCCCGAAGGCAGUAAGAGAGAGAAAAAAGCUAUUUUACUACAUAAAUGUUUUAACUUUCAGCAUUAAAAAGGAAACCUCAAACAAAAGCAAGAAUAAGUGGCAAAUCUUGAAGGGUAUAGUUAUACUAUGUAUAUUACAGGAAAAAGUUAAUAUCCCUUAGUGAUUUCAUCCUGUCCUAUGGCUUUAAAUAUCAUCUAAAUGUUAACAACUCUCGAAUUUAUGUUUUAGCUUAGACUUCUCUCCUGAACUUCAGAUUCUUAACUGCCUACAUGAUGUCUCCACUUGGAUGUAUCUUAGACAAAUUUAACAUGCCUAGAACUGAACUCCUAAUUUUCUACAACCUCCACCCUGUAUACCUGCUCCAUCUGAAGUCUUCCUUAUCUCUCUGAAGGUGACUCAAUUCUUUUAGAUGCUAAGUUCCAAAAUUUUAGAUUCAGUCUUAAGCAUUUCUUUCUCUCCUAUUCCAAAUCUAAUUUUCUUGGAAAUCUUGCUGGCUCUACCUUCAAAACAUUUUAGAAUCUGACCACUUCUCACCAGCUCCAAUGCUAUUAUCCUGGUCUGAAUAACCUCCAUCUUUUGCCUGGGUUAUUCUAGUGCCUCCUCAUGUUUCAGCCCUUGCCAUAGUAUAAUCUAUUCUCACCACAGCAGUCAGAGAGAUCUUUUAAGAGCACAAUUGAGGUAUGUUACAUUUCUGCUCAGACCAUGUCAUGGCUCCUUGUUUUAUUCAGAGUAAAAGACUAAUUAAGUCCUGAUAGUAACCUACAAGGCCCUAUGUGAUCUGCCUUCCUUCCCUUUAUCUCUCUGAUCUCCUCACUACUUUCAUUCUCUUUUUCUUUGUACCAGUUAUAUAUCCUCACCAGCCUUUGAAUAUGUCAGGCAAAUUCCUAUGUUAGAGAUUUUGCACUGUGAUUGUGUCCCUCUACCUAAAAAAGUUUCUUCUCCCAGAUAUUCAUAUAGCUAGUCCUGUGAAGUCCUUCAAGUUUUAUCAGUGAGAUCCUCCCUGACCAUGCUACUGAAAAUAGCAAUCUCUCUCCUCCCUGGCCACACUCCUGAACUCCCUUUAUUUCUUUCUUAUAGCAUGUAGUACCUCCUAGCAUUCUGUUUAAUUUAUUUACUAUAUUAUUGUCUUUCUCUACUAGAAGUGAGCUCCUUGAGGGUGGUGGAGUUUGUUUCAUACUUUGAUCCCUAUCAUCAGACAAGUGCCUGAAAUACUGCUGUAAGUUAAACACUGUUGAAUGAAUGAAAAAAAACCUACACUUAAGAUCUUGUAAAAAAGUAACGAUUGUUACUAAAGAUGACUAUAUCAGAAAAAUGUCAAAGGAUGGCUGGGCAAUUCACAGAAAAAAGACUCUUCAAUUAAAAAAAACACACUCAACUAUAUUAGUAAUGAAUAUGGAAAAAAGAUAGUAUUUAUGACUAUUGGCAAAGUAUCAACAAGCAUUGCCAUUACUUUCAAUGAUGAAAACCACAAUUACUUCUGCACUAACCUAAAAAUUAGCAAAGACAAAAGUGGGAGAGAGUGUCCAAGAUUAAAAAAGACUGCAUAGGCAUGAACCUUGUUUGUAUCUUAAUUCAAACAAAUCAUAGAAACAAAUAAUUUAUGAGACAAUGGGGGAAAUUUGCACACAUUAGAUAUUUGAUGACAUUUUUCUUUUAUACACACUUGAUGUAAAUGGAAGAAAUGAUGUGCUGUCUGAGAUCUACUUUUUUUUGUUUUGUUUUUUGAAAUAAAACUUUAUUUAUUAACACUGAAAUUUGAAUGUUUUAUAAUUAUCAGGUGUCACAAAAUAUUUUUCUAAUUUUUUCCAGUCAUAUACAAAUGUGAAAAAAAAAAUCUUGGCACAUGGGACAUAAAAAACAGAUAGUGAAUCAGCUUUGGCCUGCAAGCUACAACUAAAUGAAUCCUAAUCUUUUUUUAAUUUUAUUAUUUAUUUAUUUUUUAAUUAUACUUUAAGUUUUAGGGUACAUGUGCACAACGUGCAGGUUAGUUACAUAUGUAUACAUGUGCCAUGUUGGUGUGCUGCACCCAUUAACUUGUCAUUUAACAUUAGGUAUACCUCCUAAUGCUAUCCCUCCCCCCUUUCCCCCACCCCAUAACAGGCCCCAGUGUAUGAUGUUCCCCUUCCUGUGUCCAUGUGUUCUCCGAGAUCUACUUUAAAAUAAUCUAGUGUAAGAGCUGGGGUGGAGGAAAGCAGAUGGGUUUUCAAGACUAGACAUGAGCUGAUAAGUUUUAAAGUUAGGUGUUGGGCACAUGGUACUCAUAGUAUUCUUUGUGCUUAUAUACAUGUUUGUAAUUGAUUUACUAAAGGUAGAAAUUAAAAAUAUUUUAACAUCAAAAGCUGGUGAGGCUAAAAAAAAAAAAAAAGCUCCUUCAUUUAUACUGCUUGAUGGGGGUUAAAUCACUUGAAGGAGGAGAGUUAUUUGGCAAUAUAUAUUUCAAAUUUUGCAUAAUGGGCAUUUAUCUUGAGCCAGAAAUUUUACUUCUAAGAAUUUAUUGUAGGGAUAGUCAGAUAUGAGCACAAAGAUAAAUAUACAUAUUUGCUUACUAAAACAUUAUUGGCAAUAAUAGUGAAAAUUUAUUAAACAACCCAAAUGCCCAACAAUAUAGACUAUAUUCAUUAUAGUUAAUCUCAUCAGAUUUUUUUUUUUUUUUUGAGACAGAGUCUUGCUUUGUUGCCUAGGCUGAAGUGCAAUGGUGCAAUCUCGGCUCACUGCAGCCUCAACUUCCCAAGCUGAAGUGUUCCUCCCAGUUCAGCCUCCCAAGUAGCUAGGAUUACAGGCAUGGGCCACAAUGCCUUGCCAAGUUUUGUAUUUUUUGUAGAGACAGGGUUUCGCCCUGUUGCUCAGGCUGGUCUUGAACUCCUGACUCAAGCGAUCGGCCUGCGUCAGUCUCCCAAAAUACUGGGAUUGCAGGCGUAAGCCACUGUCCCUGGCCCAGAUUCUUAAAAGCACUGCAUGUGUGUGUAUUUAAGUAAAAAGAAUAUAGUUAAUCUAGUAAAUACUUUUAAAGGUCCCUAAGGCACUUGAACUCACUUAUAAACACCGUUCCUAUUAUUCCUCCUUGACACUAUUAGUCAUGUAUACAACAUACAUAAUUCAUGAAAUGGAAAAUACAUAAUAAAUAAAUAGUUGAUCUCUAAAAUCAUUUGAAUGAAAUAGUAAAGUAACGAACCAAGAACAAAACAUUAUAAAAACAAAACUCACCUUCUAAUAUGUGUUCAAGAGAAAACACGUUAAUUAUAAAAUGUAACAUGGCUUCAAGUCUUUCCUUCAAAAAUAUCAUGAGAAGGAAUUAAGAGUCAAGUAAAUUCUUUUGUUUUAUUGUUGACAAGUAUAGUCUGUGCAAUUAUACUGUAUGUGAAAUAUAGAUUUUUAAAUAAGGAAUAAUGAGCAUCAUAUAGCAGGUGGUCAGUAUUUCUCAAUCUUGGUGUUAAAAUCCUAUUUCCUUUCUAACAUCUUGAGUACAUUAUAAAAAAUGAAUCAUGCCCGAAAGGUAUGAGAGAAUCUGAAAAAAACUUAAGUUUUGCUUUCCAGAGAUCACAACUAGGUCAGGUCUAAUGCUUUAUUAAAAGAAAAAGAAUACAUAUGUGUAUAUACAAUAUAUAUGUUUUAAGAUAAUCUAUCCAACUUCCGUAUUUUCUUAAUGUAAAGGUAUAAUAUAGGGAACUUCUGCUAAUAAUAAAGAUGGAGAUAACUCAGACCAACCUUUCUUCUGAAGGCAACUAAAAGUCUGGACAAAAUAUAAAAAACAUCUGUUUGAAGGCACUGGAUUAUUAAUAAGAUGGUGAAAAAUUACAGGUGAGUAUCAGGAGGAAGCUGGAGGCUCAGGAAAGUAAUUUCUGCAAUUUCAGCUAAUUUCCCCUUGAGGUUGUUUGCUUAUGCUGGAAGAGCUGGCAGAAAAGCAUAGCAACAGUGCUAAGAGCUUUGGGGGAAUAGGGUGCUGGAACUGGAAUUUAGGAUCUUUGUAAAUCUUCCUUGCUUUGAGUUGGGACUCUGAACAGCUAUACUGUAGAGGGCAAAUCAGAAAUAGGCAGGACCUCAGGAAACUACAGUUUAGUAUCAAAUUACCUCAGUCUCUGAAAUAGGACUGAGGUGAUUCUGAAUUGCUAAUGCUACCUAGAAUAUGAAAGAAGGAACUGUAAAUAUUCUCUGAGAUAUUUAAUAUCAUGAUCAGAUGCAUCAAAAUAUUCUGCAAAUAAUUUUGCAAAUACCUGACUGGCACACAAAAAAUUUGCAUGCAUAUGAGGAAUUAAGACCACAUGCAAGAAAAUCAGUCUAAACAGAUCCAGUGGUUACAGACUUUGGAAUUCUCAGACACAGACUUUAAAUUAUAGUUGUCUCUCAGUAUCUGUGAGGGAUAGGUUGCAUGACCAUACUAAAAUUCAUGGAUGCUCAUAUCCUUUAUAUAUAAAAUAAUACAGCAUUUGCACACAACCUAUACAAUCCUCCCAUAUGCUUUAAUAAUCUCUAGAUUACUUACAAUACCUAAUACUAUAUAUAUAUACUAUGUAAAUAGUUAUGAUGCAUUGUUCAGGGAAUAAUGACCAAAAAAAGUCUAUAUGUUCAGUACAGAUGAAACCAUCCAUGUUUUUUUUUUUUUUGAUUAGUUGGUUGAAUCCAUGGAUGCAGAACCCAUGGAAUAUGGAUGGCUGACUAUAAUUAUACCCUUUGUGCUUAAUAACAAUUUUUGCAAAGAUAUGAAACUAUAAAAAAGAAUAAAAUGGAAAUUCCAGAAUUGGAAAUAUAGCGACUGAAAUUAAAAAUUUUAUGGAUUUAAGGAUCAUUUGAUAAAGCUGAAAAAAGAAAGUAAACUGAAGAAUGUGAGAAACAAAAUUAUCCAGGAAGAGAAAAAAACAUUAAAAGCAAAAGAGUAAAGGGCAUAGACAAUACAAUGGGAAAGUGCCAUGCAAUAUAAUUGGAGUCCCAGAAGUAGAGGAGAGAGCAAAAGUGACAAAAGCAAUAGGUGAGGAGAUAAUGGUUAAGAAUUUUCCAAAACAAACAAAAGAUAAUGCAGAAACAAAUUCAGAAAGUCAGGAACCCACUUAAGAGAAGUAAAAAUAAAGUCAACUAGGCAUAACAUAAUAAAACUAUUACAAGCCAAAGACUGAGGAAAUAUUUCAAUAAGCCAGAAGACAGAUUGUAUUCAGAGGGGCAACACUUAACAUAAAAUCUGACUUCAACAGACUAUUAUUCUCUGUGAAUAAGGUCUUACAUAUUAGCCCUUCACUCCCAACUAUUUGUCUAUUUGUCUUAGGUGAGCUAAAUGUGUGCUGGGACACAUUUGAGCCAAAUGUCCCAGCACACAUUUAGCUCACAUAAGAAAAAUGGACUCUAGUUGGGAGUGAGGGGCUAAUAAACACCAGAUCCCAAGAAAAUUCCCCAUAAUGGAAAAUAUAGGCAGAUUUGACUAUAUAAAAGUUAAAAGUCCAAUAAAUUGAUCAAUUAUUGCUCAACAUAUAUAUAAAAAAAAGCAGCACCAAAUGAACAAAGAGUUAUUAGAUACGAAGUGCCAAGUAAAAAACCAAGCAAACAAAAAGCCCCUCAAACCCAUAACAAAUAAACAAAAAUUUCCACUAGUGUGAAUGAGCAAAGGAUACCUGACAGGGGAUGAAUUGGCCUCAUCGAUAAUCUGAGAGUUACACAUUUUAAAAGACUAUGCAGCUGGGCGCGGUGGCUCACGCCUGUAAUCCCAGCACUUUGGGAGGCCGAGGUGGAUGGAUCACGAGGUCAGGAGAUUGAGACCAUCCUGGCUAACAUGGUGAAACUCUGUCUCUACUAAAAAUGCAAAAAAUUAGCCAGGCAUGAUGGCGGGCACCUGUAGUCCCAGCUUCUUUGGAGGCUGAGGCAGGAGAAUGGUGUGAACCCAGGAGACGGAGCUUGCAGUGAGCAGAGAUCGCGCCACUGCACUCCAGCCUGGGUGACAGAGCGAGACUCGGUCUCAAAACAAAACAAAACAAAAAAAACAAAACAAAAAAGACUAUGCAUUAUUAUUGCUGUUGUUACUAUUUUUGGUUUAGGUAAAGAUGAAACAGUUACUCUCAUGGGUACUAAGUACAGAAAAAAAUUAUGAAAAGCAGUUUAACAUGAUGCAUUAAAAAAAAAAUGAUAUGUCCUUUAACCUGGCAAAUCAGCUUCUAGGAUUCUGCUAUGCACGCACAAAUGUGAAUACACAGAUGUGUUCUCUGAUGUACUGUUCACUAAUAGAAAAAAGGUUAAUUAAAUUAUGGUACAUCUAUUCUCUGGAUUCUCAAAAACAAUAAAAAAAUGAGGUAGAUUCUUCAUGUAUGCACCCUAAAAAUGUUCAUAAUAAACAAAUAAAACCAAUAAACAUAAUAAACUAAACAAAAAAGUUGCAGGUCACUAUGUGUAAUGUGCUAGCAUUCACGUGAAACCUAACAAAAAGCUUUAUGUAAUACAUGUGUAUUACACACAUACUGCAAAGAUAAAUAUUUAACAGCAUUUAAUCUCUGAGAUAGGGCAUAAAAUUGAGGUUCUGAGAAGAGUUGAAGGUGGCAGUCUACUUCUUUUCUUCUACAUUGUCUGAAUUUUUUUCUUAACUAAGAUUAUAUGUUAGCUUUGCAAUUAAAAUGUCUCACACAUACUUUUAUGAGAGAAAGAGAAAUAUCAAGUGAUUUGUCAAUAGAAAAAUAGUAAACUCUACACUGUUAGUUGAUCUUAAGAACAGAUUAUUAUCAUAAAAUAUGAUAUGAUUAAUUAUAAUUUCCUGCCCUUAAUAGAGGUUACAUUUUAAAGAAGGAUGGGAAGCAAAAUUGUUCCAUCAAAAAUAGAUAAAAUGGGUUAGGCACAGCAGCUCAUGCCUAUAAUCUCAGCAAUUUGGGAGGCCAGGGGAGACAACUGCUUGAGCCCAGGAGUUUGAGGUCAGCCUGGGUAACAGUGAUACUUUGUUUCUACAGGAAAAAAAAAAAAAAAAAAAAAAAAAGCCAGGAGUGGUGGUGCAUGCCUGUAAUUCCUAGCUACUUGUGGGGCUGAAGUGGAAGGAUUGCUAGAGCCCAGGAGGUGGAGGCUGCAGCAAGCUUUGAUUGCACCACUGGACUCCAGGCUGGGCAACAGGGUGAGACCCUGUCACCAAAAAAAAAAAAAAAAAAAAAAAAAAAAAAAAGAAAAGAGUUGUAAAAUGAAUUUUACUGCUAGAGUUAUAUAGAACAUCAAUGCAUACUUGUUCUAGAUCUUUGGAAGAUACUGGUUAAUUGAAAUGACUAUAAAGCUAAUUUUCCCAUUAAUUUUCAUAAAAUAGACAAACCUAUUAAAAUUAACUGUUCUAUAGAUUGAUAUACAAAGGUUCUCUUUAGAAAUAAUGUUACUAUUUACUUAAAACGAAAGUUAUACUUACAACAAGGAAUAGGCUGAACUGGUCCAAGUUGUGGAAAGGUCAUAAGAACAGAAAUCCCUGGUAGAUC
rnacentral:lncRNA from 10 species